rnacentral:rRNA from 1 species
UGGGGAAUCUUGCACAAUGGGGGAAACCCUGAUGCAGCGACGCCGCGUGAGCGAUGAAGGUUUUCGAAUCGUAAAGCUCUGUCCUAUGGGAAGAUAAUGACGGUACCAUGGGAGGAAGCCCCGGCUAACUACGUGCCAGCAGCCGCGGUAAUACGUAGGGGGCGAGCGUUGUCCGGAAUUAGUGGGCGUAAAGGGUUCGCAGGCGGCAUGGCAAGUCCGAUGUAAAAGGCGAAGGCUCAACCUUCGUAAGCAUCGGAAACUGUCAAGCUUGAGUGAAGGAGAGGCAAGUGGAAUUCCUAGUGUAGCGGUGGAAUGCGUAGAUAUUAGGAGGAAUACCGGUGGCGAAGGCGACUUGCUGGACUUCAACUGACGCUGAGGAACGAAAGCGUGGGUAGCAAACAGG